GACGAAGAACGCAGUGAAAUGCGAUACGUAAUGUGAAUUGCAGAAUUCAGUGAAUCAUCGAGUCUUUGAACGCACAUUGCGCCCCCUGGUAUUCCGGGGGGCAUGCCUGUCCGAGCGUCAUUGCUGCCCUCAAGCACGGCUUGUGUGUUGGGCCUCCGUCCUCCUCCCGGGGGACGGGCCCGAAAGGCAGCGGCGGCACCGCGUCCGGUCCUCGAGCGUAUGGGGCUUCGUCACCCGCUCUUGUAGGCCCGGCCGGCGCUUGCCGACACAUCAAUCUUUUUUCCAGGUUGACCUCGGAUCAGGUAGGGAUACCCGCUGAACUUAAGCAUAUCAAUAAGCGGAGGA
rnacentral:misc_RNA from 1 species